rnacentral:misc_RNA from 1 species
UCUCCGUAGGUGAACCUGCGGAAGGAUCAUUACAGAGUUCAUGCCCUACCGGGUAGAUCUCCCACCCUAUGUUAUUAUUACUUUGUUGCUUUGGCGGGCCGUUAGGCUCCGGCCCGACUACCGGCCCCGGCUGGUAAGCGCCCGCCAGAGGACCCAAAACCCUGAAUAUUAGUGUCGUCUGAGUACUAUAUAAUAGUUAAAACUUUCAACAACGGAUCUCUUGGUUCUG